rnacentral:rRNA from 1 species
UGGGGAAUUUUGGACAAUGGGGGCAACCCUGAUCCAGCAAUGCCGCGUGUGUGAAGAAGGCCUUCGGGUUGUAAAGCACUUUUGUCCGGAAAGAAAACGUCGUGGUUAAUACCCGUGGCGGCUGACGGUACCGGAAGAAUAAGCACCGGCUAACUACGUGCCAGCAGCCGCGGUAAUACGUAGGGUGCAAGCGUUAAUCGGAAUUACUGGGCGUAAAGCGUGCGCAGGCGGUCCGCUAAGACAGAUGUGAAAUCCCCGGGCUUAACCUGGGAACUGCAUUUGUGACUGGCGGGCUAGAGUAUGGCAGAGGGGGGUAGAAUUCCACGUGUAGCAGUGAAAUGCGUAGAGAUGUGGAGGAAUACCGAUGGCGAAGGCAGCCCCCUGGGCCAAUACUGACGCUCAUGCACGAAAGCGUGGGGGAGCAAACAGGAUUAGAUACCCUGGUAGUCCACGCCCUAAACGAUGUCAACUAGUUGUCGGGUCUUCAUUGACUUGGUAACGUAGCUAACGCGUGAAGUUGACCGCCUGGGGAGUACGGUCGCAAGAUUAAAACUCAAAGGAAUUGACGGGGUC